ensembl:lncRNA
UCAGUGUUCAUCAGCAGUUUGAAUAAGGAUGAAUUUUUGAAAAGCUUAUGAUAAGUAACACUGGCCCUCACUCUUCUUUUAAUAUGAACCAUCUGCGUGAUAACACUGACAUGUUUAUUGGACAGACAAGUUAUACAUGGCUGCUUAUUGUACUUGAAGCAGUGAGACAGCAUGCAGGUUUCACAAUCUCGUUAAUGAUCCUCUAAAUGUUUCCUCUGAGUGGCUAGCAGGAAAUGCAGUAUUUUACUAUUUCACUUGUUACUGUGAGCAGACUUCCCGGCUUUCACUGAGAAUGACCGUUAAAAGCAAUAAUUGUAAAACAAUAACAGUACACAGUAAGUGCUGCUGUAUCUAUCCUUGGCUACUGAUUUACCUAGAUUAUUGACUAGCAUAGAUGUUGCUUACCAGAAAUGUCAUGUUUAUAUUUUAGGCCUACUGAAAAUCCCUCAACUUAGUAUACUAGGUCUGCCGAGUGACGCAGCGGUCUAAGGCACUGCAUCUCAGUGCCUGACUUGCCAAGUUAAAUAAAGGUUAAAUAAAAUACAUUUAAAAAAUGAAAGGUCAGGGGUACACCAACGCUAUUUGUGAAGGUUCGGUCACACAAGUUUAAAGGUGGCAAAGAUCCAGAUGGAUAUUAUUAUUUAUUGGAGUGACACAAACAUUACAACAAAAUCAAAACCCAGAAAACAACCGGGAAUAACUAUUGGAUAUCAGACAGACGUCAACUUACCAGCACAACCAGCACCACAACCAGGAAUACGACUUUCCCAAAGCGGAUCCUUUGUCUGCACCUCCCAGGGCACUUGAACUGAUUCCAAAGGCCGACCCAAAACAAAGCCGCCGGAGGAGAGGAUGCCGGAGCGGAUGUCAAGUGAGGCUUCGGAUGCACGCACACCACCCACCUCUUCCGAGUAUAUUACUUGCUAAUGUCCAGUCCCUAGAUAAAAAAAAGUUUACGAGAUUUGGGCAAGGGUUGCUUUCCAGAGAGACAUCAGGGAUUGUAAUAUACUGUUUCACGGAAACAUGGCUCUAUUGGGAUAUACUGUCGGAGUCAGUAUGUUAUUUGAAUGGACAAAAAUGUGCUUUUCUUUCAAAAACAAGGACAUUUCUAAGUGACCCCAAACGUUUGAACGGUAGUGUAUAUAUUCUUAUCCCUUUCCUUUACAAGAGUGUGUUUAUUAGGUGUUGUUGUGGAAUUUGUUAGAUAUUAGGUUUUGUUGUGGAAUUGUUAGAUAUUACCUGUUAGAUACUGCUGCACUGUCAGAUCUAGAAGCAUAAGCAUUUCGCUACACUCAAAAUAACAUCUGCUAACCAUGUGUAUGUGACCAAUAAAAUUGGAUUUGAUUUGAACCAAAAAGGAGAACCAAAACUUGAUUUAUUAACUUGACUCCCUCCAGGAUUUCCAGACUUUCAUAAUUAUCCACAACACAAUUUAUGAUACACAGCAUCAAUGCCAGUAAGUAUGCUCACAUGAAAGUCCAUUGGCCUGCUUUGGAUGGGGGUGUGUCCUGGUUUAUCAGUGUUGCCUUCUGUUGGUUAGUGUAGACAACUGUAUAGCUUAGUUUGCCAGGCUUACAGUAUGUAGAAGACGGCUAGGAGCAAUACUUAGUGCAAUAAUAAUAACUACAUUAACAAGGAGUGAAAGAGUAUUUGAUGUGUUCUAUGCUGUCAGCAAUGCCACAAGCAAUACUCAAUUCAACGUAUUUUUGGACAACCGUGGAGACUAAGGCCUACAUUCAAUCUGUAAAAGGCUGCUGUGGUCAGAGGUCCUAAAUUCCUGAGAAGACCUCAUGGACACACAGUUAUAGAGAGUCGUUUUUCAUGGAGGCAAAGGAAAUCCUUCCACCUCACAGAACUUGAGAUACGAACCAAUUUCAUGUUCCGGAGAAAGUGUAAAAGAUCGGUGAAGAAUCAAGCUACGAACUGGUCCGUUUGUCACAACUUGGGAAGCUCAUGGGAGACGGUGUGACCACAUUACCAUAACGCUGUUUAUAUAAUAGCCACAGAGAUAAGGUUUACAUCUAAUUGUAGUAUUAGAUGAAUGAGUGAGUAUGAUACUGUUUACACAAUUUUACAAUAUGAUUUUGGACUGUUUAAUGAAGGAAAACUCAAAAAAGGGAAUUGGAUUUGAACUAAAUCAGAGGACCGCCCCUGAGGCCAGUUAAGGUCAGACAUCCUGGGACUGCCCUUUUCUGCCAUUCCGAAUAAAACCCAACUUUGAGAAAUCAUCACCAGACCAUGUUUUUCUCCAUUAGGAGGGGGACAAAGGUUGCAGACCAUUGCUGAAUCUUUUAACCAUACUACGUGGUUAAACUCUUAGACUAUCGAUACCAACAGAAUGAGAACAAGUCUUUGAUAUUAAUUACUAGUCUGCAGCUAGGAAUUUGGUAUCAUUGAACGCGAAGAACGACAACCGCCGAAACAACCAUUCUGUAACGAAUGUCACUUUGAACUAUCCCCUCUAACCAAGACAGAGAGAGGGAGAGAGACGGACAAUUCUACGAAAGACACAAACUUUUCACCAGCGAUCAAGACGAAACACUGAGCGUAAAUAUAUACAUUGAUUGCAAUUGUUCCCGAAUGAGUGAGCGUUCAUGUGUAAAGGAUUAGCAUUUUAAUUGUUAUAAUUAUCACUCUGUCGUGACUUCUUAGUUGACCCCCACUUUCCCUUUUGUCUAACAAGCCGCCAUGCCGGUUCAGCCCACUAGGGCACAUUUUCCUAUCAUUUCAUGUAACCACAUUUACCAUGUUUGUUUGUUUAUGCAUUUCUGUGAAUUACUUAAUUAGUAAUAAAUAAAUUAUUUAAGACAAUUGAUGUAUGGAUAACUCAUAGUGAAGACUGGGUUCGUGCAGAUAACCAACAAUUUUGAAACGUUUGAAAUGAGACUAACAUGAGGUAAAAUAAAGAAAUCAUUAAUCAGAAGACUAUUGAUCAGAUAUAAAAAUAUCUGAAAGGUUAUAUUGGGAAAUUAUAACUUUGUAAUCUGAAUACUUUCCUUGGUGCCCCGACUUCCUAGUUACAUGAUUAUUCAGUUUAAUCGUGUAAUACUAAUUACAGGAAUCUUUGAUAAAAACUGAGUCUUCGAUUUGAUGAAAGUAAAGACAUAACACUGUAUAUGAUAGAUAACUAUUUUAUUUUACUAUGUAUUCAGUGUUUGCUCACCUCUUCUAUUUAUCAAGGAGAUGUACUUUAUCUUUCUCUAAAGUGCAUAGUUGUUGGAAAAAAGUUUUGCCUUGUAUCAUGUAUGUUUGUUUGUGAAAACACAAUAAGAAGAGGCCAUUAUGUCACACCCUGAUCUGUUUCACCUGUCUUUGUGCUUGUCUCAACCCCCCUUCAGGUGUCACCCAUCUAACCCAUUAUCCCCUGUGUAUUUAUACCUGUGUUCUCUGUUUGUCUGUUGCCACUUCAUCUUGUCUCAUCAAGCCUACCAGCGGUUUUCCCCAUACUCCUGUUUUCUCUCUAGUCCCUGUUUUCUAGUUUUCCCGGUUUUGACCAUUCUGCCUGCUCUGACCAUGAGCCUGCCUGCCAUUCUGUACCUUUCGGACUAUGCUCUGGAUUACUGACCUGCCCUUGACAUGUCGUUUGCCUGCCC